GAUGAACGCUGGCGGCGUGCCUAAUACAUGCAAGUCGAGCGAACGGACGAGAAGCUUGCUUCUCUGAUGUUAGCGGCGGACGGGUGAGUAACACGUGGAUAACCUACCUAUAAGACUGGGAUAACUUCGGGAAACCGGAGCUAAUACCGGAUAAUAUUUUGAACCGCAUGGUUCAAAAGUGAAAGACGGUCUUGCUGUCACUUAUAGAUGGAUCCGCGCUGCAUUAGCUAGUUGGUAAGGUAACGGCUUACCAAGGCAACGAUGCAUAGCCGACCUGAGAGGGUGAUCGGCCACACUGGAACUGAGACACGGUCCAGACUCCUACGGGAGGCAGCAGUAGGGAAUCUUCCGCAAUGGGCGAAAGCCUGACGGAGCAACGCCGCGUGAGUGAUGAAGGUCUUCGGAUCGUAAAACUCUGUUAUUAGGGAAGAACAUAUGUGUAAGUAACUGUGCACAUCUUGACGGUACCUAAUCAGAAAGCCACGGCUAACUACGUGCCAGCAGCCGCGGUAAUACGUAGGUGGCAAGCGUUAUCCGGAAUUAUUGGGCGUAAAGCGCGCGUAGGCGGUUUUUUAAGUCUGAUGUGAAAGCCCACGGCUCAACCGUGGAGGGUCAUUGGAAACUGGAAAACUUGAGUGCAGAAGAGGAAAGUGGAAUUCCAUGUGUAGCGGUGAAAUGCGCAGAGAUAUGGAGGAACACCAGUGGCGAAGGCGACUUUCUGGUCUGUAACUGACGCUGAUGUGCGAAAGCGUGGGGAUCAAACAGGAUUAGAUACCCUGGUAGUCCACGCCGUAAACGAUGAGUGCUAAGUGUUAGGGGGUUUCCGCCCCUUAGUGCUGCAGCUAACGCAUUAAGCACUCCGCCUGGGGAGUACGACCGCAAGGUUGAAACUCAAAGGAAUUGACGGGGACCCGCACAAGCGGUGGAGCAUGUGGUUUAAUUCGAAGCAACGCGAAGAACCUUACCAAAUCUUGACAUCCUUUGACAACUCUAGAGAUAGAGCCUUCCCCUUCGGGGGACAAAGUGACAGGUGGUGCAUGGUUGUCGUCAGCUCGUGUCGUGAGAUGUUGGGUUAAGUCCCGCAACGAGCGCAACCCUUAAGCUUAGUUGCCAUCAUUAAGUUGGGCACUCUAAGUUGACUGCCGAUGACAAACCGGAGGAAGGUGGGGAUGACGUCAAAUCAUCAUGCCCCUUAUGAUUUGGGCUACACACGUGCUACAAUGGACAAUACAAAGGGCAGCGAAACCGCGAGGUCGAGCAAAUCCCAUAAAGUUGUUCUCAGUUCGGAUUGUAGUCUGCAACUCGACUACAUGAAGCUGGAAUCGCUAGUAAUCGUAGAUCAGCAUGCUACGGUGAAUACGUUCCCGGGUCU
rnacentral:rRNA from 1 species